rnacentral:rRNA from 1 species
GACGAACGCUGGCGGCGUGCCUAAUACAUGCAAGUCGAACGCAGUGGGGACGGGUGAGUAACAAGUGGGUAACCUCCCCUCAGAGGGGAUAACACUUGGAAACAGGUGCUAAACCGAUACUGAUGGAUGGCCCCGCGGUGCAUUAGCUAGUUGGUGAGGGAACGGCUCACCAAGGCCACGAUGCAUACCCGGCCUGAGAGGGUAAUCGGCCACACUGGAACUGCGACACGGCCCAGCCUCCUACGGGAGGCAGCAGUAGGGAAUCUUCGGCAAUGGACGAAAGUCUGAUCGAGCAACGCCGCGUGAGUGAAGAAGGUUUUCGGAUCGUAAACCUCUGUUGUUAGAGAAGCGGUAUCUAACCAGAAAGCCACGGCUAACUACGUGCCAGCCGCCGCGGUAAUUC